rnacentral:tRNA from 1 species
GUUCGAAUAGUUUAAAAAAAAUUUAGAUUUGUGGCAUCUAGGAUGUAGAUUUCUACUUUGGACA